AGAAUCAACGCUGGCGGCGUGCCUAACACAUGCAAGUCGAACGAGAAAGUGGAGCAAUCCAUGAGUAAAGUGGCGACCGGGUGAGUAACACGUGACUAACCUACCUUCGAGUGGGGAUAACCUCGGGAAACCGAGGCUAAUACCGCAUAACAUCGCAAGAUCAAAGCAGCAAUGCGCUGGAAGAGGGGGUCGCGGCUGAUUAGCUAGUUGGCGGGGUAAUGGCCCACCAAGGCGAAGAUCGGUA
rnacentral:rRNA from 1 species